rnacentral:lncRNA from 1 species
AAAAAUAAAUAAUCAAAAGACUAUUUUUGACAGAUGUAAAUUGAAUCAGAGAAACAGAGCAUUUAUUUCAAUCACCUUAUUAUCAUAAUUAGGUUAUUCAAGAAAUAAUUUGAUUGUUAUGAAAGUUCUUCAAUCCAGACUUUUCUUUCACGAGUUCUGUUUGAAAGUCAAAAAGUUUUGUUUGAAAGUCAAACAUGUGAACAUGUAAAGUUUGUGUAAAUUGUUGAUGUUUUUUAAGUUAAAUUUAAAUUAAAUAAAACAAUAUCAUGAAUAUGUCAAUCUAUGUGUACUACAUCACACUUGUUUUGCUGGCUAGUAACCAUAAUAACUUACAUAUAUGUGAACUUCACUUAAAACUGAUGUUCUAAGUGAUUCCUUUGUUAAUUUUCACGUUCUGCUUGUCCAAACUGUCAUGACUGUGUAAAUACAGUCUUUCAGAUAUUUUAUGAUGUUUAAAAUGUUUACCUGACAUUAGGGAAUGGAUGAAACCAAAUUUCAUUGGACUUUUUACAUUGUGUGAUGUACAUUGGGAAUGCUUAGGUUGAAAAUAGUUUUUGCUAUUUUUAAUAUCUAUUUAGCUAUUUUUAAGUGACAUAGUCAGUCACUUAAAGUAGAAAAGACUUAUAUAAAUUCAUUUGCGUUGAAUGUGUAUAGUAGACUUACAACUGUGUUGGAGUACUUAUUUGUACUUUGUGCAAUUUAUUACUGGAUAGUCUGUUAAAAUAAAUAUUUAUAUUGUAAAGAAUUACUUCAUGAAUGUCUUUCAUUGAGUUAUAUAUGAUCUGAUUGGUCAAUAUGUUGUCACAUGGUUCCAUAUCUCCAUCCAAUACCAAACCACACAAGAUGAAUUUUGAACCACAUGAAUUACAUAUGAUUAUUUUGAAAAUGAAUUAUUUUCAAAAAUUUAUCUAUUUUCAGAAAAAAAUGUUAUUUUAUUGAAUGAAUUUAUUAAUCAGAUUUGUUGCAUUUCAAUGUACAUAGAACGAAAUAUUUGAAGUUUGAGGCAGAAGACUUACAUUAAUGGUAAAUGUUCAGGCUGUUCCAUAAACAAAAGUUGAGCCAAAACGUCUCUACGCAGCUAGAUUAUUUCGUAGAAUUGCCAUUUAUUCAUAUAAUUGCAAUAUUCUAUACAUCUAAAAUAACCUCUUCCAAUGAAAUUUUGAAAUACAAUCAAUUCUGGAACAGCCCUCAGUUAAACACACAAAAAUUGAGUUAAUUUCUUAAAAAAGGAUUAAACUUUUGCUCAUGAAAAGUUUAGUUUAUAAAUUAAAGAUGAAACGGCUUACAACACUAAAUUGGGAUUGUUUACUGAAAUUAAAAUAGAAAAAUGAAUAUAAAUUUUAAAAAUGUUGAUUGUAUUUUUAAUUACAUCUGGGUUGGAUGUAGUGUACAUAAGAUGAUAAUUCUUUCAGCUUUUAAUGGGUAUUGAAAAAUGUAACACAGCUCUGGUAUUUUUCAAGCAACAUAAGUGAACUUUUUUCUUUUUAGGACAAACUUACAAGGCCACACAAACACUCUGAAAGCAUAUUUGUUUUUGAAUUUUGAAUAUAGAUCUAUGUGCAAUAUUCAUAAAGUUCAUAACCGACAUCUGUAUAUUUUUUCCAUUGUUUACUAAUAAAUUGGGUAUUUAUUGUGCCAAGUAGUUUUAUUCAUUUCAUUGUAAUAAGCUUUAAACAUACUUCAUUUGUUGUACAAAUUUUCUUGCUCAGCUUAGCUUAGACUUAGUAUAUGGAUGCUAAGAUCAUACAAACUUGUGUGUUUUCUGUUGACCUACUUGCCUAUAAUUUUACAGCUGAACAUAUAUGUAUAUUGUGCAUACUCCAUCUCUGGCAUAUAUACAAGUGUUAGUUUUUACCUCACAGGGUGCAAGAUCAAUUUAGGUGCUAUUUAAGGAGGUAGACCUAGGUUAAGGGAAAUAAUUCAGUACGUUUGUGUCAGCCAUUUUCAUAAAUAUGUUCUAAGCUUCUAGGAUACAUAGAUUAUUUCCAAUCUGUUUCAGGUAAAUGCUUAAAACUCAUUGACGAAACUUGACUUUUACAAACGCAUAACUGAUUUAAAGAGUUAUCUCCCUGAACCAAGGUCUACUCCCUUAAAAAGUUCUUAGUAAUGUAGAAAUCAUAUUCUCUAAUUCUUAUUAGAUUUAUAAUUUUUUCUAUUCUAAGGGCUGUUCCAAAAUUCAUCAAAAAAAUCAAGAAAUAUAGCAUUUUCAUGGAUUUCCAUGGUAUAUAUAUAGUAGAAACAUAAAUUUUUGUGUUUGACAUAUUACAUAUUUUUUUGGGCAGACUGUAGACGUAAACAACAAGAUCAAAUAUCCACCAAAAAAUACUAUUUUUCCUUAAUCCACGAAAAAUGUGUAUGUACCUACAAAAAUAAAUUAAUCCACAAUAUUUCAAAGAUUUGAGAUUUUGCUUACUGACCAUCUUAGGCUUAUCCAUUGACAGCAGAAAACACACAGGAAUAAUGGUUGCUAAUAUAAGAUUAUUCAAAUUUUGUAAAUUUGGAAUUUUAUUUGUUAAUAGAUUUUUUACCAUUCAAUUUAUACACUUAAAAGUAAACAAAGUUGUAUUUAUUGUGCCAUAUUUUUUCCUUACAAUGAAUGUAGUUACAUUUAAAACCGUAAUUUUUUCAAAUUAUUCAAACAAAUAUUUAAAUAUAUCAUUACAAAAUGUAUUACAAAAUGUAUCAUCAAUUUUUUCAGGUUAUUUUCAAGUUUUUAAUUUUUUAAAUUUUUUAUUCUCCAUUUUUAUAGUAUGAAUAUGAUGAACAGGGGAUUUUAAGGGAGAUAAGCUGGUUAUUAAGGUGGUACCUAACACUUUCACUAAAAUUAAUUUGGCU